ensembl:lncRNA
CCCCCCCCCCCCCCCCAAAACAACCCCUCUCAAGCCUCCUCUCCCCGCUCCUCCUCCUCCCCUCCCCUCCCUCUCCAGCGCUCCUUCCAGCGCAGGGCUCGGUCUUGCACGGCUUGGCGGUAUUGGCCCCACCGGGAGCGGAGCUCUUCGCCGUCGCGGGAGAAACGGCGGCGGAGGCGUUUGCUGAGGGAGGCGACGCUUUGCUCCACCUCCGCCCCGUACUCCGCAACGCGGAGCCGCGCGUCCGCCGCCUCCGAGCGCAGCACCGUCAGCAGCGACCUAUGGGAAGAGGGGGAGGGGUCAAGGGGAGGGGCUGGGCCAUUGGGAAGCGGGGAUUGAGGAGAGGGGGAGGGGAUAAGGGGAGGAGCCAAUGGGAUGCGGGGCUUAGGGAGGGGGGGGGGCUAAGGGAAGGAGUUGGGCCAAUGGGAAGUGGGGAUUAAGGAGAGGGGGCGGGGUUAAGGGGAGGGGCUGGCCAAUGGGAAGUAGGGAUUAAGGAGAGGGGGCGGGUUAAGGGGAGGAGCCAAUGGGUUGCGGGACUGGGAGGGGGCUGGGCCAAUGGGAAGCGGGGAUUGAGGGGAGGGGGCGGGGUUAAGAGGAGGAGCCAAUGGGUUGCAGGGUUUAGGAAGGGGGAGGGGCUAAGGGGAGGGGCUUGGCCAAUGGGAUGUGAGCUUAAGAAGAGGGGGAGGGGUUAAGGGAAGGAACUGGGCCAAUAGGAUGUGGGCUCAAGGGGAGGGGGCGUGGCUAGAGGAAGGGGGAGUGGCCGGGGGAGGGGCGUGGUCAGAAGGGGGCGUGGUCAGAGGGAGGGGGCGUGGCCAGGUUAAUUGGGUGGUCAGAAGGGGCGUGGUCAGAAGGAAGCAGUGUGUCCAGUGAGAAGAGGCGUGGCCAGAUGAUAGUGGGCGUGGUCAGAGGCGGUGGGCGUGACCACAUUGAUGGUGUUGUCUGGAGGGGGCGAGGUCAGGUAGGGGGCGUGGCCUGGGAAAGGGGCGUGGCCAGAGGGAAGGGGCGUGGCCAUGUGGCUGGCGUGGCCAGAAGGGGCGUGGUCAGAUUAAAGGGCGGGGUCAGAUGAAAAGGAGGCGUGGCCAGAGGAACUGGCGUGCCAGUUGAAGGUGGGCGGGGCCAGAAUGGGAGAGGCCGGAGAAAGGGGCGGGGCCUGAUAGAAAGGGGCGUGGUCAGGGAUGAGGGUGUGGCCAGAGGUGUUAGACGGAAAGGGGGCGUGGCCGGGCGGAAGGUGGGCGGGGCCAGAAUGAGGGUGGCCAUAUGAAGGGGGCGUGAUUAGAGGGAAGGGGCGUGGCCAGGGGAAAAUGGGGCGUGGGCAUGGAAAGGGGGUGUGGUCGGGAGGAUGGCGUGGUUUGAUGGGGAAGUGGGCGUGGUCAGAGGGAAAGGGGGCGUGGCUGUUGGGAAACGGGCGUGGUUAGCGUAGGGUGGGCGUGGCCAAGGCUAAGGGGGCGUGGUCAUGGAAUGUGGGCGUGGUCGGAGGGUGGUGGGCGUGGUUUGAUGUGGAAAAUUGGCGUGGUCAGGGGAAAGGGGGCGUGACAGUUGGAAAGGGGGCGUGGUUAGGGCUAUGUGGGCGUGGCCAAAGCAAAUGGGGCGUGGUCGGAAGGUGGGCGUGGUUUGGUGGGGAAAUGGGCGCGGUCAGAGGGAAAGGGGCGUGGCCAGAGGGAAGGGGGCGUGGCCAGACGGCGCCCAUAGCCCCCCAUGGCCCCCACUCACUGCACGGUCUGCCCCACAUCACUGCCCCAUAGGCGGUCGCUGAAGUUCUUGGCCGCCUCCUCCACGCGGCCCCACAGCGUCAAUGGGGCCAGCGGCGUCUCCGGGGUGGGGGUACUCAGCCCGCACGC